UGAGUGUCUGAGUGAGGGUCUUCCCUCGAGGGUCUUUCAUUUGGUACAUGGGCCGGGAAUUCGAGAAUCUUUCAUUUGGUGCAUUGGCCGGGAAUUCGAAAAUCUUUCA
rnacentral:snRNA from 1 species